rnacentral:rRNA from 1 species
AUUGAACGCUGGCGGCAGGCCUAACACAUGCAAGUCGAGCGAGUGGCGGACGGGUGAGUAAUGUCUGGGAAUCUGCCCGAUGGAGGGGGAUAACUACUGGAAACGGUGGCUAAUACCGCAUACCAACGGAUGAACCCAGAUGGGAUUAGCUUGUAGGUGGGGUAACGGCUCACCAAGGCGACGAUCCCUAGCUGGUCUGAGAGGAUGAUCAGCCACACUGGGACUUAGACACGGUCCAGACUCCUACGGGAUGCAGCAGUGGGGAAUAUUGCACAAUGGGCGCAAGCCUGAUGCAGCCAUGCCGCGUGUAUGAAGAAGGCCUGCGGGUUGUAAAGUACUUUCAGCGGGGAGGCGUUACCCGCAGAAGAAGCACCGGCUAACUCCGUGCCAGCAGCCGCGGUAAUAC